AGUUAAUAAGCUUUUAAAGCAUAUAUUUUGAAAAUAUAAGAAAAAGAUUAAAUUCUUUAUUAACUU
rnacentral:tRNA from 1 species